rnacentral:tRNA from 1 species
GCUACCCUAGUUUAAUUAUAAAAUGUUGUGUUGUGGCCGCAGAGAUAGAGUCUUUUGGGUAGUAGAGUAGGA